GUCCACGCCGUAAACGUUGGGAACUAGAUGUAGGAACCAUUCCACGGUUUCUGUGUCGCAGCUAACGCAUUAAGUUCCCCGCCUGGGGAGUACGGCCGCAAGGCUAAAACUCAAAGGAAUUGACGGGGGCCCGCACAAGCGGCGGAGCAUGCGGAUUAAUUCGAUGCAACGCGAAGAACCUUACCAAGGCUUGACAUAUACCGGAAAAGUGCAGAAAUGUACUCCCCGCAAGGUCGGUAUACAGGUGGUGCAUGGUUGUCGU
rnacentral:rRNA from 1 species